CACGUAGGGUGCGAGCGUUGUCCGGAAUUAUUGGGCGUAAAGAGCUCGUAGGCGGUGUGUCGCGUCGGCCGUGAAAACCUGCAGCUUAACUGUGGGCUUGCGGUCGAUACGGGCAUCACUGGAGUUCGGCAGGGGAGACUGGAAUUCCUGGUGUAGCGGUGAAAUGCGCAGAUAUCAGGAGGAACACCAAUAGCGAAGGCAGCUCGCUGGGACGAUAUUGACGCUAAGGCGCGAAAGCGUGGGGAGCAAACAGG
rnacentral:rRNA from 1 species